rnacentral:lncRNA from 1 species
GCGGCCGCAGGUCCAGGCGCCAUGGCUGCGGAGCGGACCCGGCCGCUGCGACGCUCUGGCGGCCCGAGCGCGCCUAGUCGGUGUGAGCCCGGCGCGAGGUCCCGGGCCCCGGGGCGCUCGCUCAGAAAAAUGAAACUCUGGACCACCUGAUUAGUCUGAGUGGGGCAGUCCAGCUCAGGCAUCUCUCCAAUAACCUGGAGACUCUCCUCAAGCGGGACUUCCUCAAACUCCUUCCCCUGGAGCUCAGUUUUUAUUUGUUAAAAUGGCUCGAUCCUCAGACUUUGCUCACAUGCUGCCUGGUCUCUAAGCAGUGGAAUAAGGUGAUAAGUGCCUGCACAGAGGUGUGGCAGACUGCAUGUAAAAAUUUGGGCUGGCAAAUAGAUGAUUCUGUUCAGGACGCAUUGCACUGGAAGAAGGUUUACUUGAAGGCUAUUUUGAGGAUGAAGCAACUGGAGGACCAUGAAGCCUUUGAGACCUCAUCAUUAAUUGGACAUAGUGCCAGAGUGUAUGCACUUUACUACAAGGAUGGACUUCUCUGUACAGGGUCAGAUGAUUUGUCUGCAAAGCUGUGGGAUGUAAGCACAGGGCAGUGUGUUUACGGCAUCCAGACCCACACUUGUGCAGCCGUGAAGUUCGAUGAACAGAAGCUUGU